UUAACUGAGUUUUGUUGGUAUUGUUUCGGUGGGUGAUUGAGUUUUGUUGAAAUUGCUAUGUUAUUGAUUUUUUUUAAGUAUUGUUUCGGGCACACACUUCUUGAUCAAGUCUAAGGUUUGUCGAAUUAUUUGAUGUUUGCGAUCCAUCUUUUGUCAGAUUGAAGAACGCAAAACCUAUUAGUAAGUUCAUUUACGCUCUGAUUGGAUUGAAGAACGCAAUAAGUAUAUUCAUUUACUCUUCUGUUGGAUUCUUCUGUUGGAUUGAAGAACGCAAGAAUGAUUAGUAAAUUCAUUUACACCAAUUCCGAAUGUGAUUCUUUAUGUGAUGAAGGUGAGUUUUGAAUCUUUUAAUCAAAUUCCUUUAUCCCUUUUCUGCUGGUGGCUGGGUCUUGAGAUUUGUUUUGUCCAUGGAUGAAAUGAAAAACAUAAUAGUUUGGAAAGGCCAAUUGAUCCAAGUCUUCUUAUAGUCUUUAUCUGCAUCUUCAUCUUCGUAACGUUUCUAAACUUCUUCCUUUUAUUAUGAGCUUAGUUCGUUUUCUUGAAUUUUUGCCUGCACAGGAUAGUUCAUUUUCUUGAAUUUUUGGCUGUAGGACAUGAUGUGAAGUAUUAUGUUUUUGGCUGCAGGAUAGCUCUAUUUACUUCUUUUGGGUUGGGGUCUCACGAUUUGUGAUAGGAUAUGGAAGCAGUACUGUAUCUUAUUGUUAACAAUAUUUCUUAAUCUUAGUCCUUGCUGAUUUUGCUCUUUAUUAUUUAAUGUUUUUGGAUUUACCUAACUGUGAACUUGUUUCUCUACAAUAGUAUUUCAAAGUGUUUUUUGUAAUCUUCGUGCCCUUGGUUUUAAAUAUGUGGCUUCCCUUGAUUUUUGGAUUUAUGAAUUUACCUUAUUGUUUCUUUACUUUGUCAUGUCAUCUUUUUUAGAAGAUUAGUUUUCUCAAAUCACCAUGUAUCUUCUUGAGCUUUUACAUGAGCAUCAGGUUUUGGAAACAGUGGAUGGAGAUAGAGUUAAACUUUAGGUUUUAUUAUCUUUGCAUUCAUUAUGCUGAUAAAAAAAAUCUUUGCAUUCAUUAUUUUCUUUGUUAUUGGACUUACUCUGUAGUUUUAUUAUGUUUCCAUCCACUAUUUUUCUUAUGUGCUCGAUUUGGAAUGUCUACAAUCUCUUUUAUUGGUUGGAUAGUUGUAAGGUACCUGUAUUUGUCAUUGUCUAAGCAAGAGCUAUAAACCUCUCUUCAUGAGAGGCAUUAUAAACCUCUAUGUCAGCGAUUUUAUUUCCUCUUUCUAUUCCACACUCAGACAUUUCUCUCAGCAAUGAAGUCAUUUAAUCACAGCCUUUCGUUUCGUUUCCUUUCAUUUCCUUUGUUGUCAAAACAACCUUUGGGUCUUUCUUGCUUCUUGACUAUGGUAUUUAGUUUCACUAUGUUCUCAGGACGUGUUAUUUGGAAGUGAUGUGGUUAUUUAUUCGAGGAUCGAGUUCCAUUCCUUUAGACUUGCAUUUGUUUGUGUUCAUUGCUAUCAAACAACUUUCUUCUUUUUAAGUUUAUAGAGCCCUUUAUUUUUUAAUGAAACCCACUAAAUGUUAUUUAUUUAUUUUUCUUUCUUUUUCAUCAUUUCCUACUUAUUUGUGUUUCUAAUAGGCUUGGGAUGCGUUUUGGGUUUAUAAGAGUAUUAGAGGCACUUGAAUUUGGGGAGGAUUUGUCUUUUACUAUGUGGUUGGUUGUUGAAGCAGUGGCUGUUUUGGGAAUUUUGGUGAUCUUGUACUCCUUACUGAAACGAGACCUCAUCUUAUUGAGUGCUAUAUUUCUCAAUUUUGAGACUCAUUUUAUUGAUUGCUAUAUUUCUCAAUUUUAAUCCCUUGUUGAUCUUGUAUUUUGGGACAGCUAACAUCUUUGCACACUGAAGAUUAAUUUACUCAAUGAUCGAGAAACAAAUUGUAUGUAUUUUAUAUUUAGUGUGCAGUAUAGUGCUAGAACUGUGUGUGAACAGCUCAUGUAACGUACAUGAUCUGGUGAUGUAUCUCUGAUUUUGGGAUCUGUAUUUUUUUCUAUUCAAUUUAUAUUGAGUGUUUAGCGGUUUUCAUGAUACGGUAGUUUUUUCUAUAUGAUAAGUACAUCCAGUUUUAAUUGGAUAUGAUGACAGAGAUCUAUCAUAUGUAACUGUUUAUCUGCUUGUGUUAGUUCCUUUUCAGCAGGAUCCCAGUUGAUGAUUAAAAAACAUAAAGUUCUUGUUUGAUUAUUGAAAUCUAUCCAAUUUAUCUGUUAGAUCUGUGAUUAUGUUGAUUCCUUUCUAGCACAUUAAAGGUUAAUAAUAAUACAAUGCUCAGUGAAGAUGUCUUCCUUUUAUUUGAAACACUUGCCAGGGGAUCUGUGAAGCUUUAGGUUUUGGUACCCUUACAUUUCUUAUAUCUUUAUUUGUGACUGACUAAACUUCUUGAGAAUGAGAAACAACAGUAUUAAAUAUUAAACAACAGUAUUAAAUUAAAAAGGUUUUUCUUACUACAAUUAGUUCUUUCUUCACCACUCCGAUAACUAAUUAAAUAUUUACUUUCAUUAGAAUGUAGAUUAUGUGAAUGAUAUAUUUUAAUGUUGGCUCAUAAAAUAUUUUUAUAGUAAUCAUUAAACAAAUGUUUGGUAUACACUCAUAUUUAUCAUACUUCCUUCAAGUAGAUCUUUAAUAAUUUUUUUUAUCUGAAUGGGUUACUGGAAUUAUUAAUUUUUUUAAAAAAAUAGAAUGAUUUUUCUUUUGUGAUUUUUAAUAGAAGCUUACAUCAGUUAUUAGGGGUCACUGAUAUGUUUUUUCACCCUAUAUUGUCUGGAAAUCUUUUCUAUGUUUUCUAAUUUGAACCAAAGGAUUCCUAAAUCUUUUCCUGAAAAACAUUAUUUUAUGUGCUUUCUUUAUUUAUUUAACCAGUCAUGAUAAAAAGCAAGCAAAGAGUGUAGUGAGCCUGUUUUAACUUUACAGUCAUGCAAUGUUUAUUAGUAGGUUCACAUUCAUAAAUACUUUGAUUUCAGGAAUUCACAAAAUUCAAUUACAAUUCCUAUUUCAGUAAGAUUUUUUUGGUCAAUAAGUUUUUUAACAUCUUUUGUCUUUUAGAAAUUUUUUAAACCAUUUUAUACAUACACUUUAUUAAAUAUAUAGUCCUACAGUGACACUAGUCCUGCUAAAUUAAAGAAAAUUCUAUUUUUGUGUGGAGGGUAAUCCUUAUUCUUAACUUCUUUUAAAAGGACGAAUGUAAAUUGCUGAUAUAUGACUUGUAUGCUUUCACAAUUGAUCUUUGUUUGGAACGAAAUUAUGAAACAACUUACCUUAACCUGCAAUUAAUUUAUAUUUGUUGUGUAACUAUUCACUCCAUAUCCUUCUUGAAGAUAUCUCUUUACUAAAAAUAGUAUAGUUGAUAUAGAGUUAAUUCAUAGUAAAGGUUAACCUUGAUCUCUUUCACCAUAUCAAUUUCAACAUGCAUCCUACCAUUUAAAUUUUCCAAUUUUAUUCUGAAAUUGGUAGGAUAGUGGCCUACCAUGGUGGUGACGGGUGACGAAGAAUUAGGGUUAGAUUCCGGAAAGGGAGCCUGAGAAACGGUACCACAUCCAAGAAAAGCAGCAGACACGCAAAUUGUCCAAUCAUGAUAUGGGGAGGUAGUGACAAUAAAUAACAAUAUCGGUUUCAUUGAGUUUGGUAAUUAGAAUUAGUACAAUCUAACACCCUUAACGAGGAUCGAUAUGAGGGCAAGUCUGGUGCUAGGAGCCACAGUAAUUCCUGCUUCAAUAGCGUAUAGUUAAGUUUUUGUAGUUAAAAAUCUCAUAGUUGGACCUUAUGUAUUUUUUUAAAUGUUUGAACAGUUGGUUUUGUCAUUGCAGGGAGGAGAUGGAUGGGUGGUUCUAGGUUUGGGAAACAUGGAUCAGGACCCUGUGGAAAUUUAGGUUUUAUUCUUUGCAUUUAUUAUUUUCUUUGCUGCUAUUAUUCAGGGAUAAACUUGUGGACUGAGAAUACUUACCUCUUCAUGAGAGGCACUAUAAACCUGUGUCAACGAUUUUAUUUUCUCUUUCUAUUCCACACUCAGAUAUUUUUCUCAGCAACGGAGUCAUUUAAUAACAGUGUUUCGUUUCGUUUCCUUUCAUUUCCUUUGUUGUCAAAACAACCUUUGUGUCUUUCUUACUUCUCGGCUAUGGUAUUUAGUUUCACUACGUUCUCAGGAUGUUUUAUUUGGAAGUGAUGUGGUUAUUUAUUUGUGGAUUGAGUUCCAUUCCUUUAGACUUGCAUUUGUUUGUGUUCAUUGCUAUCAAACAACUUUCUUCUUUUUAAGUUUAUAGAGCCCUUUAUUUUUUAAUGAAACCCACUAAAUGUUAUUUAUUUAUUUUUCUUUCUUUUUCAUCAUUUCCUACUUAUUUGUGUUUCUAAUAGGCUUGGGAUGCGUUUUGGGUUUAUAAGAGUAUUAGAGGCACUUGAAUUUGGGGAGGAUUUGUCUUUUACUAUGUGGUUGGUUGUUGAAUCAGUGGCUGUUUUGGGAAUUUUGGUGAUCUUGUACUCUUUACUGAUACGAGACCUCAUCUUAUUGAUUGCUAUAUUUCUCAAUUUUGAGACCUCAUUUUAUUGAUUGCUAUAUUUCUCAAUUUUAAUCCCAUACUGGUCUUGGAUUUUGGGACAGCUAAUAUCUUUGCACACUGAAGAUUAAUUUACUCGAUGAUCGAGAAACAAAUUGUAUGUAUUUUAUAUUUAUUGUGCAGUAUAGAGUUAGAACUGUGUGGGACAGCUCAUGUAACGAACAUGAUCUGGUGAUGUAUCUCUGAUUUUGGGAUCUGUAUUUUUUUCUAUUAAAUUUAUAGUUUAGCAGUUUUCAAGAUACGGUAGUUUUUAUAUGAUAAGUACAUCCAGUUUUAAUUGGAUACCCUUUAUUAGCAACAGUCCUUUUGGAAUAGGAUUUGUUUCGGCAUAAAUCUGAAAGUUCAACUUGAAACAGCAGCUCAUGAUAGUGUUUUCUCUCUCAACAAAACACUAACCCGACGCUUCAUGUGCAAGGAAUUUGAAGCGGCUAGGUGAGGCACUCAAGGGAUGUGUCUCGCCGGUCACGUGACCUGUUAUGUAAAAUGACUCUCGGCAACAGAUAUCUCAGCCCUUGCAUCAUCAAUGAAGACCGUAGCAAAAUGUGAUACUUAUGUGAAUUGCAAAAUUCCGUGAGCCAGCGAAAUGCGGAUUUGCUUAGCACUACCAUCUGCAUGAAGUUGAAAAUUAAACAAGAACUGCUCAAGAUAACCUAAUUUCUUAUGUGUUGAGCCGGAGUUAAUCACCAUACAUUAAUAUUUGAUUGUGAUUUGUUUGUCUGCAGCAGGGUUUUGUUUAGUUGUGUGAUGACCUGUGUCUUAUCGAGCCUUUUAUGAGCAACUAAGUCUCCACUGGUUUUUGAAUUCCUUAAGUUUAAAUAUAGUUCUUAAAUUUUUUAUGUCUAGGUGUUGAUUCGUUUGUGUUCUUUCCUUUUUAGCAUGUAAGACUGGUUGAGGAUUAAAAUCGCAAGUGUACACGAAAGACAUGCAACAGAUGUGAGGUAAGAUAUCUAAAUACCUGAAGGAGAUCCUUGAUACUUUAGACUGCGUUUUAUGUCUAGUUUCUUUCUUACUUCUCAGCUAUCGUAUUUAGUCUUGGGUUGUGUUAUUUGGAAGUGACGUGGUUAUUCAUUCGAGGAUUGAUUCCAUUCCCUUCUACUUGCAUUUGUUUGUGUUCAUUGCUAUCAAACAACUUUCUUACUUUUCCUACUUAUUUGUGUUUCUCAUAGGCUUGGGAUGCGUUCUGGGUUUAUAAGAGUAUUAGAGGCACUUGAAUUUGGGGAGAAUUUGACUUUUACUGUGGUUGGUUGUAAAAGCAGUGGCUGUCUUGUGAAUUUUGGAUAUGAUCUUAUACUCUUUACUGGUCUGAUCAUCUUAUUGAUUGCUAUAUUUCUCAAUUUUAAUCCCUUAAUGAUCUUCUUCAAUCUGAGAAGCUUGUUAAUUUGGUCUUAUAAUAUAAUUUUUCUGGACUUGAUCACCAAACAUAAAGGUUGCAUUGCCAACCUGUUUCUCUCCAUCAGUACUUGGAAUUGUUUCUUGUAACACCGUUUUGUAAUCUCUUAAGAUAGAUAUUAGUUUUCUUGAUUUAAUUCUCCAAGCUUUCUCUUGUCCUCUACAGGGAGAUAAUGGAUGUGUGUCAUAUGUUUGGGAAACAUGGAAAUCCUGAAACUUUAGAUUUUUUUUAUCUUUUGCAUUCAUUAUUUUUUUUUCUAAUUAUUCUUUGGAUAAUCUUGCAGAGUGGGAUUUCAUGCCUAAUUGUAACAGGCAAAAGAGUUUAAGCAGGAUUCCGGUUGAGGAUUAAAAAACAUAAAUUUGAAUAUAGUUCUUGUUUGAUUAAUGAAAUCUAUCAAAUCUAGCUGUUUGAUCUGUGAUUAUGUUGAUUCCUUUCCAGCACAUUAAAGGUUAAUAAUAAUACAAUGGUCAGUGAAGAUGUCUCCCUUUUAUUUGAAACUUUGUACAUUGAGCAUAUUUUUCGAGACUGAUAUGUGAGGUAGGAUGUUGAAACAGUAGCCAGGGAUCUGUGAAGCUUUAGGUUUUGUUACCCUAAUAUUUGUUAUGUCUUUAUUUGUGAAUGACUAAACUUCUUGUUUGGAUUCUAAGUUUUGGUUGGUUUCACUGCUAACCCUGUAGUGUGACUGGCAACAGGUUUAUAAAAUGUUAACUUCUCUUAAAUCAUUUCUUUCAGCUUUUGGGUCAUGUUUUUUUUUAAAUUCUUAGUGAUUUGAAUUUCUAACAACUUAUAUGAAGUACUGGAUCAAUAGUGAAAAAAAAGAUACGGAAAAAUAUCGUGGCCAUUAAUAGUUUGUGUUUGUUGUCCUGUUUCUCUGUUGUCAGUGAACUCUGCUUCUUUCUCUAUUGCCCCAUAUGCAUCUUUUUCCGCAUUUUUACUCUUUUCUUAUUAAAACUUGUACUUUUCUGAGUAAUUUAGGCUUCUCAUAGCUUUUGAGUCCUGGAUUCAUCGUGAAAUUUGACCUACAUGGUGGGUGCAAUUGAAAUUAUUGAAAAGAGAGAAUUGUUGAUCUUUAGUUUUAUAGUACUGAAUUAGUUUUGGAUUUGCUUAGGUGGAGCAAAUUUGAAAGGUCAUUUGCUUAGGUAUUACUUCAUUUACUAAAUUAUCAAGAGCAUCAAUUGAAAUUAUUGAAAAGAGAGAAUUGUUGAUCUUUAGUUUUAUAGUACUGAAUUAGUUUUGGAUUUGCUUAGGUGUUGCAAAUUUGAAAGGUCAUUUGCAUAGGUAUUACUUCAUUUACUAAAUUAUCAAGAGCAUUGGACAAUUUGAUUUUGUAUUGCAUUCUAUUGUUUUUAGUAGUUGUGGGUUACAUUCUGAAUAUGACUCACCCGCAUCCUUUAUCUGAUAGUAUCUCUCAUAUCUUCCAAUAUGGGAAUGAUCUCCAACAUGAGAGUUGUAUUUAGUUCUAUCUCCAAUAUGAGAAUGAGGAAAUGAAAAACAACAGUAUAUGAGAGCUUUAUUUAGUUAUAUAUUCAAUAUGAGAAUGAGAACCAACAGUGUUUGGAAUGUUUUUGUUCUAUUUAGUUCUAUCUCCAAUAUGAGAAUGACAAACAACAGUAUUUGGAAUGACCCUGAUGAUUUGAUUAUCUGUUGCAGUGAAGACUUACUAUGACUGUCUGUUACCCCCAGUUACGGUAGAUUAUUGGACUUAAUGUGAUGCUUUAGGUUUUAUUCCAUUUCCAUUCACUAUUUUUCUUAUGUCAUAUAUUUGGAAUGGUUGUAGUCUUUCUUAUUGGUUGAAUAGUAGGAAGGCACAUCUGAGAGUUGUGUGUGUCUAAGCAAGAGCGAUAGUUGAUCACCGAACAAUAUGAUCAUUGAAGUUAAGUUACCUUUAUAGAAGUUUUUUUUGUAUGAUAUACAAGUACAUCCAAUUUUAAUUGGAUAUCCUUUGUUAACAACAAUCCUUUUGGAAUAGGAUUUGUUUGAGCGCUAGUUUCGACAUGAAUGUGAAAGUUCAACUUGAAACGGC
rnacentral:lncRNA from 1 species